rnacentral:rRNA from 1 species
GAAAAGAACCCCGGCGAGGGGAGUGAAAAAGAACCUGAAACCGUGUACGUACAAGCAGUGGGAGCCCCACCACUAAGCCAGUGGUGAACUCCACAUCCGCAUCCUUUGCUGAGGAUACGGUUAACGGAGCGAAAGCGACGUUCAACCGCAAAACAAGCAGAGGGGGCUUAGUGGUGGGGUGACUGCGUACCUUUUGUAUAAUGGGUCAGCGACUUAUAUUCUGUAGCAAGGUUAACCGAAUAGGGGAGCCGGAGGGAAACCGAGUCUUAAUUGGGCGUUAAGUUGCAGGGUAUAGACCCGAAACCCGGUGAUCUAGCCAUGGGCAGGUUGAAGGUUGGGUAACACUAACUGGAGGACCGAACCGACUAAUGUUGAAAAAUUAGCGGAUGACCUGUGGCUGGGGGUGAAAGGCCAAUCAAACCGGGAGAUAGCUGGUUCUCCCCGAAAGCUAUUUAGGUAGCGCCUCGUGAAUUCAUCUCCGGGGGUAGAGCACUGUUUCGGCUAGGGGGCCAUCCCGGCUUACCAACCCGAUGCAAACUGCGAAUACCGGAGAAUGUUAUCACGGGAGACACACGGCGGGUGCUAACGUCCGUCGUGAAGAGGGAAACAACCCAGACCGCCAGCUAAGGUCCCAAAGUCAUGGUUAAGUGGGAAACGAUGUGGGAAGGCCCAGACAGCCAGGAUGUUGGCUUAGAAGCAGCCAUCAUUUAAAGAAAGCGUAAUAGCUCACUGGUCGAGUCGGCCUGCGCGGAAGAUGUAACGGGGCUAAACCAUGCACCGAAGCUGCGGCAGCGAACGUAUCACCCAAGACAACUUUACGGAGUUGACGAUUGACGGAGCGAAGCGACGUCAAAGCGUUCAUUAAAGUCGAGUUGGCUUAGGGAUACGUUCGUUGGGUAGGGGAGCGUUCUGUAAGCCUGUGAAGGUGUGUCGUGAGGCAUGCUGGAGGUAUCAGAAGUGCGAAUGCUGACAUAAGUAACGAUAAAGCGGGUGAAAAGCCCGCUCGCCGGAAGACCAAGGGUUCCUGUCCAACGUUAAUCGGGGCAGGGUGAGUCGACCCCUAAGGCGAGGCCGAAAGGCGUAGUCGAUGGGAAACGGGUUAAUAUUCCCGUACUUGGUGUUACUGCGAAGGGGGGACGGAGAAGGCUAUGUUGGCCGGGCGACGGUUGUCCCGGUUUAAGCGUGUAGGUGUGUGUUCCAGGUAAAUCCGGUUCACUUUAACACUGAGGCGUGACGACGAGGCACUACGGUGCUGAAGCAACAAAUGCCCUGCUUCCAGGAAAAGCCUCUAAGCAUCAGGUAACACGAAAUCGUACCCCAAACCGACACAGGUGGUCAGGUAGAGAAUACCAAGGCGCUUGAGAGAACUCGGGUGAAGGAACUAGGCAAAAUGGUGCCGUAACUUCGGGAGAAGGCACGCUGACACGUAGGUGAAGUGAUUUACUCAUGGAGCUGAAGUCAGUCGAAGAUACCAGCUGGCUGCAACUGUUUAUUAAAAACACAGCACUGUGCAAACACGAAAGUGGACGUAUACGGUGUGACGCCUGCCCGGUGCCGGAAGGUUAAUUGAUGGGGUCAGCGCAAGCGAAGCUCCUGAUCGAAGCCCCGGUAAACGGCGGCCGUAACUAUAACGGUCCUAAGGUAGCGAAAUUCCUUGUCGGGUAAGUUCCGACCUGCACGAAUGGCGUAAUGAUGGCCAGGCUGUCUCCACCCGAGACUCAGUGAAAUUGAACUCGCUGUGAAGAUGCAGUGUACCCGCGGCAAGACGGAAAGACCCCGUGAACCUUUACUAUAGCUUGACACUGAACAUUGAGCCUUGAUGUGUAGGAUAGGUGGGAGGCUUUGAAGUGUGGACGCCAGUCUGCAUGGAGCCGACCUUGAAAUACCACCCUUUAAUGUUUGAUGUUCUAACGUGGACCCGUAAUCCGGGUUGCGGACAGUGUCUGGUGGGUAGUUUGACUGGGGCGGUCUCCUCCUAAAGAGUAACGGAGGAGCACGAAGGUUGGCUAAUCCUGGUCGGACAUCAGGAGGUUAGUGCAAUGGCAUAAGCCAGCUUGACUGCGAGCGUGACGGCGCGAGCAGGUGCGAAAGCAGGUCAUAGUGAUCCGGUGGUUCUGAAUGGAAGGGCCAUCGCUCAACGGAUAAAAGGUACUCCGGGGAUAACAGGCUGAUACCGCCCAAGAGUUCAUAUCGACGGCGGUGUUUGGCACCUCGAUGUCGGCUCAUCACAUCCUGGGGCUGAAGUAGGUCCCAAGGGUAUGGCUGUUCGCCAUUUAAAGUGGUACGCGAGCUGGGUUUAGAACGUCGUGAGACAGUUCGGUCCCUAUCUGCCGUGGGCGCUGGAGAACUGAGGGGGGCUGCUCCUAGUACGAGAGGACCGGAGUGGACGCAUCACUGGUGUUCGGGUUGUCAUGCCAAUGGCACUGCCCGGUAGCUAAAUGCGGAAGAGAUAAGUGCUGAAAGCAUCUAAGCACGAAACUUGCCCCGAGAUGAGUUCU